GGGCAGCGGCGCCGGGAAACGGGCGGCGUCGGGGCGCCUCGUGUACGGGGAGAGCUGCGGAGAACGGGGCGCUCCGCGCUUUCCUCCACCCCUGCCUCCUCAGCCGCUCUGCGCUGAGGAGAAGCGGUCUCCUGGAGGCGACCCCGGCCGCCCCCACCGCUACGCGCUCUCUGUCCGCUCCGCGGGCACCGCGCUCCGUACGGCUCCGGGCAGCGCCCGAGCGAGGGCAGAGCCGCCCGGCCCCCGCAUCGCCUCUGCGGCGGCCAGAGGGCCCGAGCCGGACCUGCGGCUCCCGAGCCUGCAGCCUCACACCACCUCUGCUCCACCUGCAGCCUUCAGGUGUGAAUUAUCCCCAGUACGGCACGCAGCGAGGUCUGUGGGACUGCACGGUGCCAAGGAGCGCUGCUGCUACUGUGAAAACGAGUUUUCUCCUGAUGUUCUACGGUGGAGCUGCAAACAAACAAACAGAACAAACCCCACACGGCAGGAACUGAAAAACCACACGUUUUGGCCUUAUUUAAAACCAAAUCAGGAAAACCAAUCCUACCAGAGCUCUGCCCUGGGCCUCUAGUUCUGCCUCUCCUGUCCAAGAGCCGCCCGCAUCUGUGGGUAUCGGCCACACACACACCAGCCCUCAGUGUGCCAGCGAGCCCCCUGCUCUGCAGAUGCUGUGUGCCUGCAAGUGGAAGCACCGCAGUGCUGCUGACCAUGGGAGAAUCUCAUUGGUAAAGUUUAGCUCUCCUGAAGUGUUUUCCAGGGUUGAACCCUCAGACAACGAACCCUUCCAAGGAAUAACUUCAUCUCCAGGCCACGCAGAGAGCUUGCUGCCAGCGCUAAACCAGCAGACAAAGCACCCGUUAAUUAACAGAGGAUCUCAGAUGGCUUUUCAGAGGUCCAUUUCAUGCAGAGCAGCACUUCUGUCCAGUGCAGCAGUUGUUGUGAUGCCAAAAAGCACACCUUACAGCUGACGUACCCGGCCCCUUCCCUGGCCAUGGCUGCCCCACAGCCUGCCCUGCCCCCCUGCUGCUUGGAGCUUCCUCCCCCUGUGGGUGGGUCAGGGCUGGAGAGCACAGCCUGCAGGCUUUGGGGCACCCCGUUAAGCAGACAGAGGAGGAUUUCAGUUUCUGAGACCGCCUUUAAGGUUCUCUUCCAACUCCCUUGACAGCAGUUAAUAGACGGGUGCUUAGGGCCAGAGCUACGCAGCCGAUCCCUCCUCCCCACCUUGGAGAUCUGUGAUGUUCCAUACUUAAAGAAAUAAAUACCUCGGCGGUGGGAGACUAUUAAAAUUUAAAAUGGGAAGGAAUUUCUAAGUGCAACAUCAGAAUCAUUUGUCAGCUCAAAAUAAAGGACGGAUCUGAAAUCACAAGGAGGAAAAAAACCCGUGCCUCAACUUCACAUAAAUUCGUAAUGAAAUAAUUUAACUCAGAAGGCAGGGGAAUUGCUGUUUGAUUUCCACUACUUACAUUUCACACUGUCCUUUCAAGAUACAGAGGUUAUUAAAAAUAUAUAUUUAACGACUCGACUUGAAAGGCUCCUAAAGGACGCCAUAAAAAGCCAGGCGGCUCAUUAAAUAGGGAUCGCAUUUUGAAAGAUGUAAACAGAAGGGACACCACGACCUGCUUCAGGCAUCUGCCUCCCACCUCAGCCCCUGGGCGUCGCAGGGCAAGGGCUGGUUUGCAGAGCACAACCCUGGAAAAGCCAGCCCGUGCUUCACCACCAGCAUCACCUCGAUAGCCACAGGCUGCAAGCAGCUGUGAUACACAGGAGCUCCAAAUCAACACAGCCCCCUCUCCUGGGUUUAACUUACAGCAUAGCUUGGUGCAGGCAAAAGGGAAAACCAGCUGCAAGCUCAACCUUUCCAGGCAGCUUCCCAAACAAACAAACAAUCCACUGCAGUAACCAAAGAGGGGCAUGCGGUAACUGACGGCUUUGUGAGAUGAAAAUCCUCCCUGGCCUGUUUCUGGGAGAGAAUGCAGGCGCUCUGAUAAUACCAGGCAGGGAAUGUCACCGCCUCAGGCCACACAGGAAGGCUCUGGGAGCUGUCAGCUCUGCUCUGCAUCUGGCUAGCACUGCAGCAACGGGCAUCCAGCACACGUGGGUUGUGUGCACACGUGGGGCACACCUGGUGACAACGUGCAAUGGGCAAAUGAGCCGAAUUAAGUGUUUUUAAUCAUAUCAUAGAAUCACAGCAUGGCCUGGGUUGAAAAGGACCACAGUGCUCAUCCGGUUCCAACCCCCUGAUGUGUGCAGGGUCACCAACCAGCAGACCAGGCUGCCCAGAGCCACAUCCAGCCUGGCCUUGAUCAAUGGUGUCAGCUGCUGCAUUAUCCAUCUUGCUUGUAUUGUUCAAUUUGGUUAUGAUAUUCAUCUUCAGAGAGUGGCAAAUAGGUAUUUUUGAGCAGCCUGCUCUCCACUUGUAUGGGGUUUUAUUAUGGUGCAUUGCAAUCUCUAUUAGCACGUGGGCUAUUCCCCAGUGAGGACUGCUGUCCUCUGGUGAUCUCAGCAGGACUGCUGUGAAUUAGGUUUCCUGUGGACUUACUGCAAUAUCGCAUGCAGGGAGCAUUCAUCAUCCUUUGAUCUCAGGCCACAGCUCUGCACGUCCCCAUGGGCACCGCCUUUGAACAAGAUGCAGACAGACGAUCACAAAACAAUCUGGUUUCCAUAGGACCCACCUAAUGUGUCUGCUGAGGAUGUGUAACGAGUCCAUACAGCUCAACAGUGAAGGCAUUGGACUGAGGGCCAUGUGUUGUUAUUGGUUAAUUAAACGACUCCUCCUCCUAAGGACUUAUUACAGGCUUCAUUAGAAGCGUGCAGGUAAAAGGACAGGCUCAGUGCUAAUUAAGCUGCUCCCGGUGCUUUGAACCAACGUUAGCAGGCAAUGGAGAGGAAGGGAAGUCAGAAUAGCCGAGCAUCCCACAGACCUCUCAAAGAAUGGGUUCCCUCCAAGUCCUCCAAUGCCAUUUGGGAUUAUCCACAUUCCCUUUUCUUCUGAUUAGAACCGACCCUUUUGGAAGCACAAAGAAAAAAGGACAAAUCCUGUGUGAGACACACAUCCAUACAGGUCCAGUAUUAAUUGCCCAGUCAUUUCUGAGCUAUUCAAACGUGGGAGUGAUGGUUUUCCCAGAGCAUGAAUUUUGUACAGAACCUCUGGAAAUUGUGUGCGAAGCCCAACCAAAUGAUUACACAAUCCAAUGGCAGCACUUGCACCGUUCUUUGAGGAGACGUAGCAACAAACUAUUUGCUAUUUGAAUACACGCACAGUAACCGGAUUGCCAAACCAAGUAAAUACCUCAGCACUGCAGCGUGCAGAGCCAGAAUCAAAGUCAGUAACUUCUGUCCCCUUUGUACUUACUUUCGCUGUGGGUUGUGCUGCUGCUAGGGCAGUGUGCCUGGUGCUGCAGGGCAGCACACCUCCACACCCUCCCCCUGCUGCGGAGCUGAGGACGGACACGAGGCUGCAUGAGAUGGGAGGAGAUGCGCCCCGAUGCAACAAACCCAAACACUGCCUCCAUAAGGAUGGACUGAAGUUCUAUAAAGGCUCUUUUACUCCAACGGUAAGGUUACAGGGCUGGACUCGUGGCAUUACUACAGAGAUUGAACCCACUCCUUCUAGCAUCUUUCAGCACACAACACCUCCAGUAUUUAUCAGUGUAUUUCAUCCAAAAUGUAAGCAUUGGGUUUGACCUUUCAGUGCCUGAAUUUCGGGUCCUGAUGAAAGAAAUUCCUCUCCCCACGUGUUGUUCUUGCUGAAAUCAGCACAACAGCCCAAGUACACAUUUCUUUAAUAUAAAGGAGGGGGGCUGUCAGCAUUCUCCAGCAAUCCACCAAAGGCUGGACUUGCUUCCAUGGCACAGAAGGAGGCCAGCUCCUCACUCUUCUAUGCUAUUUAGCAUAGCCCAGUUCUUCAUCCUUCUCCCUCUACAGCAAUCUAUUUUUUCCUCUCUAUUUCUCUGUUUUAUAAUACAGAUUAGAUAAGCACAUGGUUGUAGCAACAACAGCUUCUGCCUUGGGGUGGAAGUAUGAACAAGACAACCUCUUGAGAUCCCACUAACCUCCUUUUCUAACAUCUCAUGAGCAAUGAGAACUGGAUGGCAUCUGUGAUGUUUCACAGUCUUAGAGACAGCAGAUAAAUAAGGAUGUAUUUAUGCUUCAAAAGAAAGAAGCACUGUGGCGUUUGGGGUAUGUCCUGGUGCAGAGGAUCCUGUGCAUUUAAAGGUUUAAUUCAAAGAGAGACCUGGAUGGUAUGCUUUAAUUCCUUGAAUUUCAAGUGAUAAAUUAGCCUGGUAGGGUCUAAUUUGACAGUUCUGGAGGAAGUGAGGUGCCACCUAUACUGAAACACAUUUAUCUAGCACUGUUAUGUAAAGGCUGCUAUAAUUAAAGACAGUGUGAAGACUUCAUUGCCACUUUCUCUCGGUUUAAAGCACCUACAAUGAGAGAGGUAACCUGACUACAUCUGUAGGUAUCCUCCCUAUUUAACCAGAGCGUGUCUGAUAAAGAGGAGUGGAUUAUCUCCACCUCCUGAGGCAGGUAUCAAUGUCCUCUCAGGUUUUCAUAGCUCGAGACAGCCCUACUGUAAUUAUGGCUUCCACUGGUGCACAGAAACGAGCGUGGCAAAUCUGAAAUGACCUGCAGUAUAUUGCAAGACACAGCCGAUGGCAUUGCCACUGCAUUAACAGGGGUCUCCCUCUCAAGAACUCAGGACUUGCAUUGCAGAACCUGUGUGGAUCUGUGGGCUCUGAGCAGGCUCAGCAAUCUCCCUCCAGCAACAUCCAUCCAUCAGCAGCACGCAGCAUCCACCAGGCCGAAAUACCAACUGCCUCCACCAACCUGAAAUGACAGUGCCUUAUGGCUGGGGCUGUGCUGUGGCUCUUUGUUGGAAGGAAGAUGCAGGGAUUGUUUUCAGAGGAGAUGCACAUUUAUAUCUUCCAUGCCAAAAAGCAUCCCGGCCAGAGGAUUAAGCAUUUGUUCUGUUUCUUAUUUUAAGCUCCUCUUCUCUUCUUAUGAAUGUUAAUCAAUCUCCUUAACUGCCAUAAGUGCUGAUGCUGAGCAUCGCUGAAUACCACUUUAGCCUGCAACUGAUGAAAUUAUGGGAAACUAUCAAUAAAAGCCAAUUAGUAACCUUAUGGGAAGCUGGUGCUACUUUACCCAAGUAGCUGAAGUUACCCCUGCGUUCUGGAAAGCCUCAUCAGCGCUGAGACACCGCCCUGCAUGCCAAAAGAGCAGCAGUUCCCACCUGGGCCGGGGAAGGAACGCCCCACUGCUGUGGGAGGCUGCAGGGCAACGUGCUGUUCACAUCCUCCAACACGUGUGCAGCCCAGAAAGCUCCCAGACACUGCACAUUUCCCAAAGGCAUUCAAAAACUUGCAGUUCUCACAGUAAGCGUUCACACAGAUGUGACUGAAAGAUAUUUCUCAUAAACCACAAGUACCCUGUAAUAACUCCUGAGGGAAAACGAGGCCCAGGCUGAGCAGUUGGAGGUGGACAAGGAUGGCCCCGCCAGCUAAAAACGAACCACCGAUGUCUGCAAAAAGCAUCACUUCACUGCAGAAUUUUCCAUUUAAAAAACCCUACAGUUCCUGUUUUGCAUUUAGACCAAGGGUGUAUAAAAAGCAGCCAGCCAAAGAGCUUUCAGGCCUAGAGCUAAGGAGCACUUCUGUUGUUCUUGCUAGGAGGUUAAAGGGAAAAACAAGGAAAUAAAGCCAAGCAAACUGACAUAACCUUAUCUGUACUUUGCUGCUUCUCCUUGGGAUUUGACAGGGAUGGCUUGAUUAGCCUGUUGAUUUUACUGCAUCUCCUUAUGCUUUAUAAUCCCAUUACCAUACUGCAAGACAGCACUUUGAAUUUCAUGGCAAGGGACUGUGGGGAGCUUCAGUUUGUUUCAGCAGAUUUCCAUGACACCCAUCCAAAUGGAGAAGCUGAUGCAGAAACAACUGAUCAAUGAACAGGCAGCCACUUAUCCAACCCAACGUCUUUAAAUAUUUAGUCAGGACCGCUGAGAACAGAGUGGAGAAAAGCAAAGAUUCAAGGAUUUUACUGCCUAUUUAAGCAAGAGGAGCCCUUGCCUGUACAGUCUCUGAGAGUUCAGCUCAUCCGCCCAAUGAAAUGAUCGAUUUGGGAUACUCUCAUCAUCCUAAAGCAGAACAUAAAGUCUGUGUGAGAAGCCUUGAAAAUGAUGGCUGCUCAUCACCACCAUGGGACUCUCCUGGAACGCAUAAGCCAGUACAAGAAUCCUAAAGCAUAUUCCUAACACGCUUUGUUUUGAGAGGCGCAGAGCAGCCACACAGCCCCUCUCUCUCCCAGCCCACCCCCCUGGGCAGGGUCAGUCUGCACGGCCGUCCCAGGUUGGUGUGACCUGAGCCCAGCGGUGCUCAGCACCAGCAAAGAAGGCAGACAGAACCCAGGAUGUGGGGUCAUCUGCAUGCAGGGCCACAAACACCUGCAGCUCUCCCUUCAUCGGUGA